CAGAGUUGCAAGACUCCCUAAACCAUUGUGAACCUACCUUCUACCGUUGCUUCGGCGGGCGGGCCCAGCGCCCCCCGGCCCCCCGCGGGCGCCCGCCGGAGGAUACCCAAACUCUUGACAUUAGUGGCCUCUCUGAGUAUUCUUUACUGAAUAAGUCA
rnacentral:misc_RNA from 1 species